rnacentral:rRNA from 1 species
GACGAACGCUGGCGGCGUGCCUAAUACAUGCAGGUAGAACGCUGAAGGAGGAGCUUGCUUCUCCGGAUGAGUUGCGAACGGGUGAGUAACGCGUAGGUAACCUGCCUGGUAGCGGGGGAUAACUAUUGGAAACGAUAGCUAAUACCGCAUAACAGUAGAUGUUGCAUGAUAUUUGCUUAAAAGGUGCAAUUGCAUCACUACCAGAUGGACCUGCGUUGUAUUAGCUAGUUGGUGAGGUAACGGCUCACCAAGGCGACGAUACAUAGCCGACCUGAGAGGGUGAUCGGCCACACUGGGACUGAGACACGGCCCAGACUCCUACGGGAGGCAGCAGUAGGGAAUCUUCGGCAAUGGACGGAAGUCUGACCGAGCAACGCCGCGUGAGUGAAGAAGGUUUUCGGAUCGUAAAGCUCUGUUGUAAGAGAAGAACGAGUGUGAGAGUGGAAAGUUCACACUGUGACGGUAUCUUACCAGAAAGGGACGGCUAACUACGUG